rnacentral:rRNA from 1 species
GUAGGGAAUAUUGGACAAUGGGGGCAACCCUGAUCCAGCGACGCCGCGUGAGUGACGAAGGCCUUCGGGUCGUAAAGCUCUGUUGCAAGGGAAAAACAAAAUGAUGGUACCUUGCUAGAAAGGAUCGGCUAACUUCGUGCCAGCAGCCGCGGUAAGACGAGGGAUCCUAGCGUUGUUCGGAAUUAUUGGGCGUAAAGCGGGUGUAGGUGGCUUUGUAAGUCAGGUGUGAAAGCCUGGGGCUUAACCCCAGAAGUGCAUUUGAUACUGCGAAGCUUGAGUGCUGGAGAGGCUACUAGAAUUCUUGGUGUAGUGGUGAAAUACGUAGAUAUCAAGAGGAAUACCGGAGGCGAAGGCGGGUAGCUGGCCAGACACUGACACUCAGACCCGAAAGCGUGGGGAUCAAACAGGAUUAGAUACCCUAGUAGUCC